GCCUUCGUGGUGUAACGGUAGAAUACUCGGCGCGUAUUCGAGAGGUCCAGGAUCGAGUCCCGGCGAGGGCA
rfam:Stegodyphus mimosarum contig34233, whole genome shotgun sequence.